rnacentral:misc_RNA from 1 species
UUUUCUCCUACAACUGAAAUCUCUCCCAGUAAAGAUGGUAUUGGGGACAAUUCAAAGAAAAGCUUGCAACGGAAGAGGAAGUUGUCUGACAUGCUAGGUCCCAAGUGGAGUGAUGAGGACCUGACACACUUCUAUCAAGCAUACCGCAAGUAUGGUAAAGAUUGGAAAAAGGUUGCUGGUGCUGUGAAACCCCGAACUGCAGAGAUGGUGGAGGCUCUUUACACAAUGAAUAGGGCCUAUUUAUCUCUUCCAGAGGGGACUGCAUCUGUUGUUGGGCUGAUUGCCAUGAUGACUGAUCACUACUGCAACUUGGCAGCAAGCGACAGUGAGCAAGAAAGUAAUGAGGAUGCUGGAACAUCUAGAAAACCUCAAAAACGUGCACGGGUAAAGACUCAGCCUAAUGUUUCUAAAACAUCUGAGGUGGCAUCCCCAACGUUAGCAGCUACGCAUGGCUGUUUAACUUUGUUGAAGAAGAAGCGUUCAGGAGGAAGCCGGCCUCGUGCUGUCGGAAAAAGAACCCCACGCUUUCCUGUUUCUUUUUCUCAUGAAAAUCCGAUGGGUGAGAAGUAUUUUUCGCCAAGUAGGCAGAGUUUGAAACUUCAGGCUGAUGACAGUGACACUGAUGAGGAUGUGAAGAUAGCAUUAGUUUUG